rnacentral:rRNA from 1 species
GCCUAAUACAUGCAAGUCGAACGCUUCUUUUUCCACCGGAGCUUGCUCCACCGGAAAAAGAGGAGUGGCGAACGGGUGAGUAACACGUGGGUAACCUGCCCAUCAGAAGGGGAUAACACUUGGAAACAGGUGCUAAUACCGUAUAACAAUCGAAACCGCAUGGUUUUGAUUUGAAAGGCGCUUUCGGGUGUCGCUGAUGGAUGGACCCGCGGUGCAUUAGCUAGUUGGUGAGGUAACGGCUCACCAAGGCCACGAUGCAUAGCCGACCUGAGAGGGUGAUCGGCCACAUUGGGACUGAGACACGGCCCAAACUCCUACGGGAGGCAGCAGUAGGGAAUCUUCGGCAAUGGACGAAAGUCUGACCGAGCAACGCCGCGUGAGUGAAGAAGGUUUUCGGAUCGUAAAACUCUGUUGUUAGAGAAGAACAAGGAUGAGAGUAACUGUUCAUCCCUUGACGGUAUCUAACCAGAAAGCCACGGCUAACUACGUGCCAGCAGCCGCGGUAAUACGUAGGUGGCAAGCGUUGUCCGGAUUUAUUGGGCGUAAAGCGAGCGCAGGCGGUUUCUUAAGUCUGAUGUGAAAGCCCCCGGCUCAACCGGGGAGGGUCAUUGGAAACUGGGAGACUUGAGUGCAGAAGAGGAGAGUGGAAUUCCAUGUGUAGCGGUGAAAUGCGUAGAUAUAUGGAGGAACACCAGUGGCGAAGGCGGCUCUCUGGUCUGUAACUGACGCUGAGGCUCGAAAGCGUGGGGAGCAAACAGGAUUAGAUACCCUGGUAGUCCACGCCGUAAACGAUGAGUGCUAAGUGUUGGAGGGUUUCCGCCCUUCAGUGCUGCAGCUAACGCAUUAAGCACUCCGCCUGGGGAGUACGACCGCAAGGUUGAAACUCAAAGGAAUUGACGGGGGCCCGCACAAGCGGUGGAGCAUGUGGGUUUAAUUCG